UCUUUUUUACAGGGGAACACUGGAAACGUGUGAAGUGUACUGAUGAAGGACAAACUAUAAAUGCGACAAAGGAUAAUGAAACGACAUGCUGGUGCGAAGAAUUCAAUGGUUACGCCCCUGACAGACCUAAGGAAUGUUGGGAACAAGGCACACCCUCAGCAUGCCUUUGCACAAAAUGUCCGAACGGGACAUGGCCAAACAUAAGAAAAGGUUGAUCCGUUGUCAAGUCAACAUAUACAGUCAUAUGGCAACUGGUUGCGCGUAGGAGAAUAUUCAGAACGGAGCGCGUGCGCUGAGAUGACGUCGCGGUCGAAAUUUUGCAAAAUGUGUAACUAUCGCAGAAAUUCAUGAAUUGCCCUUAAUUUCCCUCAUACGUGCUUGUGAAAAAUCAAGAAGUGGUAGCAGAGUUCACUACGCGUCUUUACGUGUGCGAUUUACUUGCAAGGAAGCAGACAUGAAUGAGAUAGAACUCGAUGAAGUCGGCCAACGGGUCAAUUUUGGGCCGUAGCAACACUGUGACAAUGUGAUAUAUCUCCUUUAUUAGAAACAACGUAUCU